UACGGAGGGUGCGAGCGUUGUCCGGAAUCACUGGGCGUAAAGGGCGCGUAGGUGGCGCGGGCAGUCAACGGUGAAAGUUCGGGGCUCAACCCUGAAUCGGCCGUCGAUACUCCCGGGCUUGAGCACUGUAGAGGCUAAUGGAAUUCCCGGUGUAGCGGCGAAAUGCGUAGAUAUCGGGAGGAACACCUGUGGCGAAAGCGGCUCACUGGACCAUAACUGACGCUGAUGCACGAAAGCUGGGGGAGCAAACAGG
rnacentral:rRNA from 1 species